ACCUUUGUAGUGUAGUGGUCAGCACUCUCGACGAGUAUUCGAGAGGUCCGUGGUUUGAGUCCCGGCGAGGACA
rnacentral:tRNA from 1 species